GACGAACGCUGGCGGCGUGCUUAACACAUGCAAGUCGAGCGGUAAGGCUCCUUCGGGAGUACACGAGCGGCGAACGGGUGAGUAACACGUGAGCAACCUGCCCUUCUCAUCGGAAUAAGCGUUGGAAACGACGUCUAAUGCCGAAUAUGACCUCCUUUCGCAUGAUCGGAGGUGGAAAGCUCCGGCGGAGAAGGAUGGGCUCGCGGCCUAUCAGCUUGUUGGUGGGGUAACGGCCCACCAAGGCGACGACGGGUAGCCGGCCUGAGAGGGUGACCGGCCACACUGGGACUGAGACACGGCCCAGACUCCUACGGGAGGCAGCAGUGGGGAAUAUUGGACAAUGGGCGAAAGCCUGAUCCAGCAACGCCGCGUGAGGGAUGACGGCCUUCGGGUUGUAAACCUCUUUCAGCAGGGACGAAGCGAAAGUGACGGUACCUGCAGAAGAAGGACCGGCCAACUACGUGCCAGCAGCCGCGGUAA
rnacentral:rRNA from 1 species